rnacentral:rRNA from 1 species
AGUAGGGUAUCUUCCGCAAUGGACGAAAGUCUGACGGAGCAACGCCGCGUGAGUGAAGAAGGUUUUCGGAUCGUAAAACUCUGUUGUAAGGGAAGAACAAGUACGUUAGUAACUGAACGUACCUUGACGGUACCUUACCAGAAAGCCACGGCUAACUACGUGCCAGCAGCCGCGGUAAUACGUAGGUGGCAAGCGUUAUCCGGAAUUAUUGGGCGUAAAGCGCGCGUAGGCGGUCUCUUAAGUCUGAUGUGAAAGCCCCCGGCUCAACCGGGGAGGGUCAUUGGAAACUGGGAGACUUGAGUGCAGAAGAGGAGAGUGGAAUUCCAUGUGUAGCGGUGAAAUGCGCAGAGAUAUGGAGGAACACCAGUGGCGAAGGCGGCUCUCUGGUCUGUAACUGACGCUGAGGUGCGAAAGCGUGGGGAUCAAACAGGAUUAGAUACCCUGGUAGUCCACGCCGUAAACGAUGAGUGCUAAGUGUUGGGGGGUUUCCGCCCCUCAGUGCUGCAGCUAACGCAUUAAGCACUCCGCCUGGGGAGUACGGUCGCAAGACUGAAACUCAAAGGAAUUGACGGGGCC